UACGUAGGAUGCAAGCGUUGUCCGGAAUUAUUGGGCGUAAAGAGCUCGUAGGCGGUUUGUCGCGUCUGCUGUGAAAAUCCAGGGCUUAACCCUGGACCUGCAGUGGGUACGGGCAGACUGGAGUGCGGUAGGGGAGAUCGGAAUUCCUGGUGUAGCGGUGAAAUGCGCAGAUAUCAGGAGGAACACCGGUGGCGAAGGCGGAUCUCUGGGCCGUAACUGACGCUGAGGAGCGAAAGCAUGGGGAGCGAACAGG
rnacentral:rRNA from 1 species